rnacentral:rRNA from 1 species
AUACGUAGGGGGCGAGCGUUGUCCGGAAUGAUUGGGCGUAAAGGGCGCGUAGGCGGCCCGGUAAGUCUGGAGUGAAAGUCCUGUUUUUAAGAUGGGAAUUGCUUUGGAUACUGUCGGGCUUGAGUGCAGGAGAGGUAAGUGGAAUUCCCAGUGUAGCGGUGAAAUGCGUAGAGAUUCGGAGGAACACCAGUGGCGAAGGCGACUUACUGGACUGUAACUGACGCUGAGGCGCGAAAGUGUGGGGAGCAAACAGGAUUAGAUACCCUGGUAGUCCACACUGUAAACGAUGAAUGCUAGGUGUAGGGGGUAUCGACCCCUUCUGUGCCGCAGUCAACACAAUAAGCAUUCCGCCUGGGGAGUACGGCCGCAAGGUUGAAACUCAAAGGAAUUGACGGGG